rnacentral:rRNA from 1 species
GACAGUGGGAACGGGUGUUAUUCUACAUAAUUAGGUGUAAAGGGUACGUAGGUGGUUAUACAGAUUUUAUUGAAAAGGCUGCAUAUAAACUGUAGACAGUGGAUAAAAUAUUUUAUAGCUUUGUGUUUUAUAGAGAAUAAUAGAAUUUUUGGAGUAAGGGGUUAAAUCCGUUGAUACUAAUAGGAAUACCGAAGGCGAAAGCAUUUAUUUGGGUAAAACAGACGCUUAAGUACGAAGGUGUGGGGAGCGAACGGG